UGGGGCGUAGCUUAUUUGGUAGAGUGCACGUCUAUCGUGCACAAGGCCCUGAGUUCAAUCCCCAGUGCCACAU
rnacentral:tRNA from 1 species